AACACUAAUAAAUCUAUUGAAUGCUUCUAAGAAAGUUUUGUUGGUUUUAGCCUCUUUUGGGAGAAAAUGGGUAUAAGUGUUAUCUAAACACUCCUAAUCCAUCUCUAACUCUAUAAUUAGUCAAAUGCAUUGGAUUAUGAAACAUUUUGACCAUAGAAACACUAACAAAGCUAUUUACUCCUUCUUCUAAGCAAAUUUUUGUUGGUUUUAGCCUCUUUUGGGAGAAAAUGGGUAUAAGUGUUGUCUAAACACGCCUAAUCAAUCUCUAACUCUUAUAAUUAGUCGAAUGCAUUGGAUUGUGAUAGAUUUUGACUAUAGAAACUGUAACAAAUCUAUUGACUGCUUCUAAGCAAGUUUUGUUGGUUUUAGACUCUUUUGGGAGAAAAUAGGUAUAAGUGUUGUCUAAACACUCCUAAUCCAUCUCUAACUCUUAUAAUUAGUCGAAUGCAUUGGAUUGUGAUACAUUUUGACCAUAUAAACACUAACAAAGCUAUUUAGUGUUUCUAAGCAAUAUUUUGUUGGUUAUAGCUUCUUUUGGGAGAAAUGGGUAUAAUUGUUCUCUAAACACUCCUAAUCCAUCUCUAACUCUUAUAAUUAGUCAAAUGCAUUGGAUUGUGACACAUUUUGACCAUAGAAACACUAACAAAUCUAUUGACCGCUUCUAAGCAAAUUUUGUUGGUUUUAACCUCUUUU
rnacentral:sRNA from 1 species